AUUGAACGCUGGCGGCAGGCCUAACACAUGCAAGUCGAGCGGAUGAAGAGAGCUUGCUCUCUGAUUCAGCGGCGGACGGGUGAGUAAUGCCUAGGAAUCUGCCUGGUAGUGGGGGACAACGUUUCGAAAGGAACGCUAAUACCGCAUACGUCCUACGGGAGAAAGCAGGGGACCUUCGGGCCUUGCGCUAUUAGAUGAGCCUAGGUCGGAUUAGCUAGUUGGUGAGGUAAUGGCUCACCAAGGCGACGAUCCGUAACUGGUCUGAGAGGAUGAUCAGUCACACUGGAACUGAGACACGGUCCAGACUCCUACGGGAGGCAGCAGUGGGGAAUAUUGGACAAUGGGCGAAAGCCUGAUCCAGCCAUGCCGCGUGUGUGAAGAAGGUCUUCGGAUUGUAAAGCACUUUAAGUUGGGAGGAAGGGUUGUAGAUUAAUACUCUGCAAUUUUGACGUUACCGACAGAAUAAGCACCGGCUAACUCUGUG
rnacentral:rRNA from 1 species